rfam:Erythranthe guttata cultivar DTN x IM62 scaffold_70_contig_3, whole genome shotgun sequence.
GGGUGCGAUCAUACCAGCACUAAUGCACCGGAUCCCAUCAGAACUCCGAAGUUAAGCGUGCUUGGGCGAGAGUAGUACUAGGAUGGGUGACCCCCUGGGAAGUCCUCGUGUUGCACCCC